UACGUAGGUGGCAAGCGUUGUCCGGAAUUAUUGGGCGUAAAGCGCGCGCAGGCGGCCUUUUAAGUCUGAUGUGAAAGCCCACGGCUCAACCGUGGAAGGUCAUUGGAAACUGAAAGGCUUGAGUACAGAAGAGGAAAGCGGAAUUCCACGUGUAGCGGUGAAAUGCGUAGAGAUGUGGAGGAACACCAGUGGCGAAGGCGACACGCUGGGCCGUACCUGACACUGAACCGCGACAGCAUGGGGAGCAAACAGG
rnacentral:rRNA from 1 species